rnacentral:misc_RNA from 1 species
UACGGAGGGUGCAAGCGUUAAUCGGAAUUACUGGGCGUAAAGCGCGCGUAGGUGGCUUGAUAAGCCGGUUGUGAAAGCCCCGGGCUCAACCUGGGAACGGCAUCUGGAACUGCCAGGCUAGAGUGCAGGAGAGGAAGGUAGAAUUCCCGGUGUAGCGGUGAAAUGCGUAGAGAUCGGGAGGAAUACCAGUGGCGAAGGCGGCCUUCUGGACUGACACUGACGCUGAGGUGCGAAAGCUAGGGUAGCGAAAGGG